rnacentral:rRNA from 1 species
AGCGUACGCUGGCGGCAGGCCUAACACAUGCAAGUCGAACGAACUCUUCGGAGUUAGUGGCGGACGGGUGAGUAACACGUGGGAACGUGCCUUUAGGUUCGGAAUAACUCAGGGAAACUUGUGCUAAUACCGAAUGUGCCCUUCGGGGGAAAGAUUUAUCGCCUUUAGAGCGGCCCGCGUCUGAUUAGCUAGUUGGUGAGGUAAAGGCUCACCAAGGCGACGAUCAGUAGCUGGUCUGAGAGGAUGAUCAGCCACAUUGGGACUGAGACACGGCCCAAACUCCUACGGGAGGCAGCAGUGGGGAAUCUUGCGCAAUGGGCGAAAGCCUGACGCAGCCAUGCCGCGUGAAUGAUGAAGGUCUUAGGAUUGUAAAAUUCUUUCUCCGGGGACGAUAAUGACGGUACCCGGAGAAGAAGCCCCGGCUAACUUCGUG